rnacentral:rRNA from 1 species
AUUGAACGCUGGCGGCGCGCCUAACACAUGCAAGUCGAGCGGUAACAGGUGUAGCAAUACAUGCUGACGAGCGGCGGACGGGUGAGUAAUGUUUGGGAAUCUGCCUAUUAGUGGGGGACAACCCGGGGAAACUCGGGCUAAUACCGCAUACGCUCUACGGAGGAAAGCCGGGGACCGCAAGGCCUGGCGCUAAUAGAUGAGCCCAAAUCGGAUUAGCUAGUUGGUGAGGUAACGGCUCACCAAGACGACGAUCCGUAGCUGGUCUGAGAGGACGACCAGCCACACCGGAACUGAGACACGGUCCGGACUCCUACGGGAGGCAGCAGUGGGGAAUAUUGGACAAUGGGCGAAAGCCUGAUCCAGCGACGCCGCGUGGGUGAAGAAGGCCUGCGGGUUGUAAAGCCCUUUCGGUGGGGAUGAAAAGCCUCGACCUAACACGUCGGGGUCUUGACCUAACCCAAGAAAGAAGCACCGGCUAACUCUGUGCCAGCAGCCGCGGUAAUACAGAGGGUGCGAGCGUUAAUCGGAAUUACUGGGCGUAAAGCGCACGUAGGUGGCUUUGUAAGUCGGAUGUGAAAUCCCCGGGCUUAACCUGGGAACUGCAUUCGAGACUGCAUUGCUAGAGUAUGGGAGAGGGAAGUGGAAUUUCCGGUGUAGCGGUGAAAUGCGUAGAUAUCGGAAGGAACAUCAGUGGCGAAGGCGACUUCCUGGACCAAUACUGACACUCAAGUGCGAAAGCGUGGGGAGCAAACAGGAUUAGAUACCCUGGUAGUCCACGCCAUAAACGAUGAGAACUGGAUGUCGGGAGGGUCUGCCUCUCGGUGUCGUAGCUAACGCGUUAAGUUCUCCGCCUGGGGAGUACGGCCGCAAGGUUG